rnacentral:lncRNA from 1 species
UGCUGACUUAGUUACACUGGAUUAAACUGGAGAGACCAUAGACUUUCAUCUUUAACCCGCUGAGGUCCACAAACUCACCAGACAUUUUAUAAAUGUCUUUAUUUAUACCAAUGAAAGUAUACAGGAUGCAGAAAUAAUAAAAAAAAAUAAUAAUAAUAAUAAUAUAUCUGUAAAGUCUGACCUUUCAAAUGCAUCUAAUAAAAAAUUGUUUGACACUUAAAUUCAGAGUUACUGGUUUUGAUUUAUCAGUUUCAUACAAUCACAUUUUCAUACAUGCACAGAUCGACCAAUCACAGAUGAGAGGCAGAUCUGCCUUCAGAUGAUUGAUAUCAUUAUUAAAACAUUUUUGUUCUUUUUAGGAAGGAGACAAAGUUACUACUGUAGUGAAAUCUCUCUCUUUCAGUCUCUCUCUCUUUCAAUCGCUCUCUCUUUCAGUCUCUCUCUCUCUCUCUCUUUCAGUCAUUCUCUCUUUUAGUCUCUCUUUAAGUUGCUCUCUCUUUCUUUCAGUAUCUAUCUCUCUCAGUCUCUCUUUCUAUCUCAGUCUCUCUCUCUCAGACUCUCUUUCAGUCUCUCUUUCUCUCUUUCAGUCACUCUCUCUCUCUCUUUCAGUCUCUUUUUCAGUCUUUCUUUCAGUCUCUCUCUCUUUCAGUCUCUCUAUUUUUUUCUUUCAGUCUCUUUUUCUUUCAGUCUCCCUCUCUCUUUCAGUCUCCCUUUCUUUCAGUCUCUCUUUCUUUCAGUCUCCCUCUCUCUUUCUGUCUCUCUCUUUCUCUUUCAGUUGCUCUCUUUCAGUCUCUUUCUAUCUUUCAGUUGCUCUCUUUCAGUCUCUUUCUAUCUUUCAGUUGCUCUCUUUCAGUGUCUCUCUCUCUUUUGUCUCACUAUCUCUCUUUUUUAGUUGCUCUCUCAGUUUCUCUCUAUCUCUUUCAGUCUCUCUUUCAGUCUCUUUCUCUCUCAGACUCUCUUUCAGUCUCUCUUACUCUCUUUCAGUCACUCUCUCUCUCUUUCAGUCUCUUUUUCAGUCUCUCUUUCAGGCUCUAUUUCUCUCUUUCAGUCUCUCUUUCAGUCUCUUUUUCUCUCUUUCAGUCUCUAUAUCUUUCUCUUUCAGUCUCUCUCUCUUUCAGUCUAUUUUUCUUUCAGUCUCCCUCUCUCUUUCAGUCUCCCUUUCUUUUAGUUUCUCUCUUUCUUUCUUUCUUUCUUUCUUUCUUUCUUUCUUUCUUUCUUUCAGUCCCUCUCUCUUUCAGUCCCUCUCUCUUUCAGUCUCUCUUUCUUUCAGUCUCCCUCUCUCUUUCAGUCUCUUUUUCUUUCAGUCUCUUUUUCUUUCAGUCUCCCUCUCUCUUUCAGUCUCCCUUUCUUUCAGUCCCUCUCUCUUUGAGUCUCUCUUUCUUUCAGUCUCCCUCUCUCUUUCAGUCUCUCUCUCUUUCUCUUUCAGAUGCUCUCUUUCAGUCUCUCUCUCUCUUUUAGUCUCACUAUCUCUCUUAUUUAGUUGCUCUUUCUAAGUUUCU